rnacentral:rRNA from 1 species
AUACGUAGGGGGCGAGCGUUGUCCGGAAUGAUUGGGCGUAAAGGGCGCGUAGGCGGCGCGGUAAGUCUGGAGUGAAAGUCCUGAUUUCAAGGUGGGAAUUGCUUUGGAUACUGCCGCGCUUGAGUGCAGGAGAGGUUAUCGGAAUUCCCGGUGUAGCGGUGAAAUGCAUAGAGAUCACACAGAACACCGAUUGCGAAGGCAUCUCACGAAGGGGAGAUUGACGCUGAGGCACGAAAGCGUGGGGAUCAAACAGGAUUAGAUACCCUGGUAGUCCACGCAGUAAACGAUGAUAACUAACCGCUGGGUCGUAGUGAUUCAGUGGCCAAGCGAAAGCGAUAAGUUAUCCACCUGGGGAGUACGACCGCAAGGUUGAAACUCAAAUGAAUUGGCGGGG